CCUACGGGUGGCAGCAGUCGAGAAUCAUUCACAAUGGGGGAAACCCUGAUGGUGCGACGCCGCGUGGGGGAAUGAAGGUCUUCGGAUUGUAAACCCCUGUCAUGUGGGAGCAAAUUAAAAAGAUAGUACCACAAGAGGAAGAGACGGCUAACUCUGUGCCAGCAGCCGCGGUAAUACAGAGGUCUCAAGCGUUGUUCGGAAUCACUGGGCGUAAAGCGUGCGUAGGCUGUUGCGUAAGUCGUGUGUGAAAGGCGCGGGCUCAACCCGCGGACGGCACAUGAUACUGCGAGACUAGAGUAAGGGAGGGGGAACCGGAAUUCUCGGUGUAGCAGUGAAAUGCGUAGAUAUCGAGAGGAACACUCGGGGCGAAGGCGGGUUCCUGGACAUUAACUGACGCUGAGGCACGAAGGCCAGGGGAGCGAAAGGGAUUAGAUACCCGAGUAGUC
rnacentral:rRNA from 1 species